GAAAUGCGAUAAGUAAUGUGAAUUGCAGAAUUCAGUGAAUCAUCGAAUCUUUGAACGCACAUUGCACCCGCCAGUAUUCUGGCGGGCAUGCCUGUUCGAGCGUCAUUUCAACCAUCAAGCCCCCGGCUUGUGUUGGGGACCUGCGGCUGCCCGCAGGCCCUGAAAAACAGUGGCGGGCUCGCUGUCACACCGAGCGUAGUAGCAUACAUUCUCGCUCAGGGCGUGCUGCGGGUCCCGGCCGUUAAACGACCUUCAUAACCCAAGGUUGACCUCGGAUCAGGUAGGAAGACCCGCUGAACUUAAGC
rnacentral:misc_RNA from 1 species